UUUAUGAUUGAUCAUCAGUUUUGCUGGAUAGAUUGAUUGGUAUUAAUUGUUGGCAUUUGUUUCUGCUCCACCUUCAUCACGGUUGGAGAAUUUUUAGUGCACAACUAGCAACUGUGACCUGCUCUUUUCAUUAUCCAGUAUCACAUCUUGACUCUUUCACAAGAUUAAGUGUUGCACAGAGUUUACACAAGAAUUGCUCAAGUUAUAAAACCUGUUUUAGUGAUACAAGUAACCUCAAAUUGUAGCUAUGGUGAUGGGGGAAUAAAGCAUGGAUAAAGGAGAAAGGCAUGCUUAGCCAGAAAAGUACCUUAAGCUACGUGCCCUUUCCUCAUUGAUUGUAGCUUUCCAAGAAAAAGCCAAAAAUUCUCAUCUCCAUACCUUUAGCCAGAGAUUGGCCAAGGAGAUGGGGGAAAUUGAUCAUCUUCGCCAGUUACAGUGACAAAUCCCUAAUUUGACCACCUCACUAAGGCCAUGGCAUAAAUUUAGGUGGGAACCAUGAACUUUCUAGCUAGAGAACAUGUAGAGGACUUUGAAUUUGCCUUUGAAACAUGCCUUCCUUUUUACUCGACUUUUAGAAAGAGAACCCCAAAGAGUGACUGGUCACAAACUGUUCAGGAUUCCUCCAAGAAGAAUCAUAACACUCGUAAGUCAAACUAUCCCCAGGGAUCUCGAACUGGGAGGGCGCCGACCAUGUGUUCAUGGGUGCCCACAACCGUGAAUUGAUGCUGCUCUAGCUAAAUCUGAACAUUAUAUAGAUUUGUGGGUGUAUUUUUCUUUUGACAAAACCACAGGCCAUGACAUGUUAUCUUGCUUAGCUACUUGAUUUCUUGGUAGGUUUGAUGCACAAAUAAGAAUAAAGCCUUCCAAGCCUGGUGUUCACUUUUCGCCCACAACAGGCUUCUCAUUGUGUGGUUAGGCACAUCAGGAUUCUGAGAGAGGUUGCAUCAAAAAGUCGAGAGCAAGCAAGUUAGGGCCAUGUACAAGUGACUCUAUUUGCAUGCUUUAUAGCGACCUUGUCUCUAAUUAAUUUGUGUGCUGGUCCUCAUGUUUUGCGUGAGCAGUCGCAUGGUGUGCUGCAUAAGAAUUCUUCUCCAUACAUUUGGCAUCUUAAAGCAAAAAGUAUUAUGGAACUGUAUUGAAUGGUACUCUUUUAUUUUAUUGGCAUCUCACCGUCCUUUAAAGUUUUAAUCAAAUCAAUGUAUUAGUGGAAUGAUGGUUUAUGUCUAAAAUGAUUAUUGGCAUCUCACUUUGUUGAUCAACCACUUGUUUUAUCUGCGAUUGAUGAGAAGAAACCUAAGUCAAGCUAUUCCAUAUUGAACUUAAUUCAUGCUCAUGGUAUUUGUCUUGCAUGUGUAAGCAAAUUACAUAUUUGUCACGUUAAUAAUGUUUUUGUUGAUAGAGUCAUGGUAAUAUUGCUGUUAUAUUUGAGUCACUUGGUUGGCCUCUUCUUAUGGAGGUCAAAUUACUUAGGUUAACUUUUCUCUGGUUAUUGUAUCUAUAAAUAUGUUUGCAUAUGGAGAAAGUGAAAUGUUGACCAAUUUCUUGAGUCAAAUCCUUCCAUCAUUAAUUUAGUGACAUGCUGGUCCAAUGAUUUGCAAUACAGAUAAGUGAACCAUCAUUAUUCCAUUGACAAUCAUUAAUGAUUUGUUUGAUGAUAUAUCAUAUAUCUGAUAUGUUGCAGUAGAUUAAUGAAAUCAUACAUGUAUGUAGCUGUCAAAAUCUUCCUUGAAGGUGUGUUGUCAUUGUCCACUCACAUAGCUUGCUUUGGCAUGAAAUCCUUAAUGUGUAAAGUAGGGAAUAAAAUACUCAUAAAUCUAACGCUUCCAAGCAUGUGUCUCUCUCCGUUAAAAGUCUAAAUUCACUUUACUGAGAGGGAAUUGCUGAAAUGUUCCCACUCUUAAGGGCUUUGAUGUAGGCUUCUGGUGUUCCAACCUUCUCACUGCUUUCAUCUUUACAGCCCAACACAAUAGAGAGAGAGAGAGAGAGAGAGAGAGAGAGAGAGAGUCCCUAUCAGGGCCAACCUUAUUCCCUGUGGCAAUGGUCUGAGCUUCUCUGCAGCUCGAUGUCAGGAUUAAGGCCACUACUGCUCAAUCUGUGACCACAGCUUUUGUGUACAACUUUAAAUCCUAUGGGCACAAUGUCAGGAAACAAAAGUAUGAAAGAGUUCUAUUUUAUUUCCUUAUUUGAAGUUAUAAGACUUGCACUGGGAUCAUAUUAAUCGUUUGUGUUACAACAUAUUGUUUGCUAUGGUUCCUCAGAUAAAUUUACCUAAAUUUUUUAUUUAGUUACAACCAGCUAAAACAACUUCCUUGCUGGUGCUAUCGAAGAAGAUAUCAAAUCAUCUUUUUUAUUAUAAUACACACAUCAUUUUAGCAAUGGUCAGCAGUGAACAUAUAUGUGGAAGCCAUGCCUCAGGUUUGCAAUACUCAUCUGUAACUGGAGGAUUGAAAUCAGUUUAAAGCUAAGCCACAUGUGAGUUGGAAAAGUGAAAGGAUUGUUCUAUUUUGUGACUGUUGGAUCUUCUAUAGGUUUAUUUUCAUGUAUAGCUGAGAUAGAAAAUAUUUCUCCUUAAAGGCCUCAUUUUUCAAGACACAGUCUGCCAAGACAUAUGUUCAUAGGAAAGAGGAUGCAAGUAUUAGCAUGAGAGAGUAAGGAGGGAACUGGAUGAUACAGGUCAGUUGCAAGGUUUGGUUUUUUCCCUGCAGCUUCCUAGCAAGUGCAAGAUUCCAGGAAGUUUGAUUAGGUAGCAUUAAUGGUGUGAAAUAAUUGAAUCUGAUGGUACAUGCCAAUAGCAACUGGAAGAUUUAAGUGAAGCUCAAAUCUUAGCCAUAUAGACUGUAGGCAGACCCAGAAAUAUCUUGAUUCUUUCUGGCUUAGGACAUUCUGUGAUCACUAAGCUGCAUAUGUUCCUGUUGCUCUGUUGGCUUAUAUGGUCAAGAAUGCCCAGAAGCCAGCAAGUUUGCAUCUCAGACCCUGAAGAUUUCAUUCUCCAGAGCAAUUAAAACCAAGAUAGUAACAGCUUGGUGCAUGCAGUUUGACAGAUCUCCAUCUUCUUCUGGGCAAGUUCUAGAGGAAACUGUACUACAUAAAAUUUCAGUUCCUUUGAUUCUUAGUCCAUAUGAACAAACUGAGUGGCAAUGACAGGCAAAGACUUGGAUGACCAUGAUGAUCAGUGUAAGAUCAUCACUGGUAGGACAAUGAAUUGUGGAGAACUUCCUGCAUAGGAGGCUUCCUGUGGUUUUCUUCCUCCUUGUUCCUUUUUUAUCCCCUUUUUCUUCCUGCAUAAAAUUUUUGUUACCCUUUGCUGUCACUCCUAUCACUGUUUUUCUUACAUUUUCUUUCUAAUUGUAUCUUUUUCUGUUGUACAUAUUAAUUUCAAACCUUAUAAAAGGCAUUCACAGGAUUUCUUUUUUUCUACUAUGGAAAUUGUCAUCCAUUUUUGGCUUUUUGUUUCUUUGAGAAUAAGGAAGAGGUGACCCAACCAUGAGAGUUAAGUGUGUCAAUACUUGGUACCAUCUCCACAAGAUUUGGAACCUCUUCAAGAUGAAGAGAUUAACUCACCACUUCAACAAGACCUGAUUAAUUAACAAUUUUUUUGUCAGAAAUAUUACUUAAAUUGUUACUUUAUUUUCUAUUUAAACUCCAAGAAUCUUGCUUUCCUAUGCAAAAAUUAAGAUGUUGCUGAUCAAUUCCAGCUUAAAAGAGAAACACAUGCCUGAGUGUGGAUGGAUCAGACAUGACUUCAAUGGAUUUAAGUCGUAAAAUGCUCUGUGAAUAAGCUGAAUUGUUCGGUGUUUCGCGCAAACGAAAACCGAAUUAUGCAAAGCCAAAAACUGUACCUGGGAUCAGAAAACUAAGGCUUUGCUUUUUCGAUCAGGAUAAUUAAUUAUGUCAUGGUCAUUCAUUCCAUGACACUAGAAUAAUUUAUUUGGUCUUGCUUGAUUGAUCAUCAAUGGCGAUGUUCUUAGUUAGAACUGUGUUUAACCUCAUCUAUUCAUUUAGAACUGUUUUUAAUCUGCUAUGCAAUUAAGUAUGGACUGAUUAAUUAGGUACCAGAAAGAAAAAAGUGAAUUUGCUGAAACAAACACUUUCAUCUUUUCCAUUGAGAUCAUAUUAACUACAAAGCUGAUGAUAUGUGCCAGAGCAAGUCAGGAUCACAGUCUUUAUCCCAUCCCAUAUCUCAUAAUCAAGUCUGUGCUAAGGAAUGAUGAUUUCCUUGGCUAAGUUUGAAUAGAUAUGCUGCUGAAAUGUACACUUGGGAGGAAAGAGGCAAAAGGUUGUGAGGUGUUGCUCAAUGCUUCUUCUGUGCUCAUGAAGUCAAAUAGUGCUUCAAUUCUAGUUCAUUAGAACAGGAGCAUGAUCGCUUGCGUCGGAGAAGCAGAGAUGACAGCUAAAGCCUAGAACGGUUCCUAAAGCUUCAAGUUGAGAUCAAUGCCGUCCGCUGCUUCUCCUCUCCUCUCGCUCGGUGUUGC